rnacentral:rRNA from 1 species
UACGGAGGGGGCUAGCGUUGUUCGGAAUUACUGGGCGUAAAGGGCGCGUAGGCGGUGCUCUAAGUUAGAUGUGAAAACUCUGGGCUCAACCCAGAGCCUGCAUCUAAAACUGGAGUGCUAGAGUUCUGGAGGGGGUAGCGGAAUUCCUGGUGUAGCGGUGAAAUGCGUAGAUAUCAGGAGGAACACCGGUGGCGAAGGCGGCUACCUGGACAGAAACUGACGCUGAGGCGCGAAAGCUAGGGGAGCAAACAGG